rnacentral:rRNA from 1 species
UACGUGGGGGGCAAGCGUUGUCCGGAAUCAUUGGGCGUAAAGAGCGUGUAGGCGGUCCGGUAAGUCGGCUGUGAAAGUCCAGGGCUCAACCCUGGGAUGCCGGUCGAUACUGCCGGACUAGAGUUCGGAAGAGGCGAGUGGAAUUCCCGGUGUAGCGGUGAAAUGCGCAGAUAUCGGGAGGAACACCUAUGGCGAAGGCAGCUUACUAGGCUGUAACUGACGCUGAGGCACGAAAGCUAGGGGAGCAAACGGG